rnacentral:rRNA from 1 species
AUUGAACGCUGGCGGCAGGCCUAACACAUGCAAGUCGAGCGGAUGAGUGGAGCUUGCUCCAUGAUUCAGCGGCGGACGGGUGAGUAAUGCCUAGGAAUCUGCCUGGUAGUGGGGGACAACGUUUCGAAAGGAACGCUAAUACCGCAUACGUCCUACGGGAGAAAGUGGGGGAUCUUCGGACCUCACGCUAUCAGAUGAGCCUAGGACGGAUUAGCUAGUUGGUGAGGUAAAGGCUCACCAAGGCGACGAUCCGUAACUGGUCUGAGAGGAUGAUCAGUCACACUGGAACUGAGACACGGUCCAGACUCCUACGGGAGGCAGCAGUGGGGAAUAUUGGACAAUGGGCGAAAGCCUGAUCCAGCCAUGCCGCGUGUGUGAAGAAGGUCUUCGGAUUGUAAAGCACUUUAAGUUGGGAGGAAGGGCAGUAAGUUAAUACCUUGCUGUUUUGACGUUACCAACAGAAUAAGCACCGGCUAACUUCGUG